GAGUUCACACACCUUUAAAAUUCCUAUUCCUAGAGAAUUUCUCUGGUAUUUCGGCUUCCUCACGUCGUUUUCCCACACUGUUAAAGCAAGCGAUAAUUCACAGAGAAUACACACAUAAUUUUUUUGAAAAUUCAGAGGUGUGUGCCCUCGAGAUUUCAACCAGCUGACAUUCGUUUUGGCAGUCCGUUCCAUACCCAAUUAGACUAACGUCGCUUGUCGUAGACAAUAUUAUUAUAAUUUGUAAGAUCAGAAAACUAGACAACUGAAUGUGGAGCAACCAUUGAAUGUAUUUACCCGCACUGGGUAAAUCAGAGCACGAUGGAUGUUACAAAUUUGCGUAGGAUUAGGUUUUUAUAGGUGGGACAUUUAUGCAAUAUAAGUAGUUUCGUAUUAGUUUAGAGUUGAUCAAUCAACAUGUACUUAUGUACAGUAUGUAUGUUUUCCCGUGUGUUUUUGUAUGUAUAUUGUGUUUGUGUUCUCCUAUGUUUCCUCAUAUUAAUAGCGGGUUUACAGUGUAAUAUAAAUAAUAGAUAUGUUUGGAUCAGCUUUCGAAUUUAAAGUAGGGUCAGGGGCCUAUUCCGUCUACGGGGGCAUAUCCGUCUUUUUUCAAUGAAGAGCGUUUUCUUCGGACACUCUAAUAGCCUUAUAGGUAAAUAGGUACUUUUUUGACUUUCUUACCUGGACAGCUAUCAAAGCUGUUCUUCGAAUAAAACGCCUGUAAUUCCAAAACGACGGAUUCAUCUCUAUAGACGGAUUAGGGCCCCUGACCUUAAUUCGAGGAUGCCGUUUCGGGUACAAGUCAUUACUUGAACUAACAUCAAAUUUGGAUACAACAAUCCUAACUGAUUGAUGUUCUUAGUCUGCAAUCAACAUACACAGACUGUACGGUAAUUUCGCAACGAGCAUCACAAAUAUAUUACAAUGGAUAUUAUUUAAAAAAUUCCAUUCAUGCAUAAGUUUUUCUCAAAUAAGUCUCCAUUUUAUGUGAAAUGUAGUUUUAACCGCUGAUCUUGUUUCACUAUAUUUUUUUAAGUGAAAUAGGUACGCUUCUCGUUAUAGAUAUAAUAAAUAAUCUAUUGGCUUUCGUAAUGAUCUCAAAAGAUUAGUCAUUUAUGUAAGAUAGAUAUGUAAUAAGUAGAUACGCUUAUAGAUUUAGGUAUUAUUGUAAGAAUUUUUUGUAUUCAUGUAUUAAGGUAUACUUAAUAUAACCCGAAUAAAAUGAAACAUUUUGUGAACUGAGAGUUUUGUCGUGGAUUUAAAAAUAUUUAUAAACAGUGAUACGAAUCAACACUGUUUGCUUCUUAAUAUAUUACCAACUGUUUAUAAUAUUCAUGUUUAAUUUAAUACCUACAAGCCAGUUUCUUUCUUUCUUAAGUAACUAAACAACAUCAGAACCAGCUAAUUAAAUUUAUCAUAUUGUAUUCGAUCGGUAGAAUAUACGUUCAAUGGUAUUCGAAAAUUCUUCUGAAUUAUAAUAUUUUUACAAAUAACUAAGAUACGGAUGCUUACUUUACAAAUUGUAUUUCAUCGGUUUAUUUUCUAAUUUAAUUUUACUACUACCUACCGACGUAUCAGUUAUAAGUCUACAUUAAUAAUACGUUUUUGCUUGACGUCGUACCUUUGAGGUCACAAGAUACAUUUAUUACAUAAAGUAGACAAGUGUUCCAAUAUUUAUUAUAUUGUAAAUAUGAAGAUAAGAUAUAGUAUUAGGUACGAAUAGUGGAAUGGAUUUGUCGCCGAAGCAACUGCUUAGAACGAUAGUUAGUUUUAUAUAAAAUAAUACAUUCAGAUGCCCACGAAUUGAUAUUUAUGUAAUUAAUUGCAAAAACCCAAUGUGUUAAUUAGUAUAAAAUCUAAAAUAUAAUUAACAAACCUGAAUGACUUUGUACAUGAAAAUUCAUAAUAUAUGUCUCAGGCCUCUGCAAUUUUAAUUUUGGUGAUAAUACUAACAGCCAAUAUACUUAGUCCAACUAAGAGUGUGCGCAAUCAUGAGUUCAACAUUUUAGCAAUUAGAACUUGCUGGUUCCAGCUUCUACCAGUUAAGGCAGAAUACAUCCAACAAAAAGAGGCUCUAAUUGAAUUUUUAGAAGCUAUCUGUCCGUAAUUUAUAAUACAUACAAACACAAAAUAAUACAUCAUAUUUCUGCAAUACGUUUAGUUUGGUUGUUUAAUUUUUUUAUAAUAUAGAUAAAUGGUUUCAUUAAUUACAUAAUGAAAAUGCUACUACAAUUAUUGAUUCCGUGCCCCUCCUAAAGUGCACAUUUUAAUUUACAACUAAAACUAUUAGAUAGGCAAUUUAAUUAAGAAUAUUGGUAGUUCAAAAUUUUAAAUAUAUUAAUUUUAUAUUAAUUUUAUUAUUCGUUAAUCAUUGCAUAUUAAUUGCAAAGAUUUUCAUUGAGUGCUCAAAGCCGUUUGUUCAGAGAAAGGCCUUGACAGAUGGUAGUAAAAAUUUUACCUCGUUUGCGCAGUCUCUCAGUAUCUGUCGUAUGAACGCAUUACCAAAAGUAUAUACGAAGUUUAUGUGCUAAAUGAGGUGGAGACAUAUUUCAACUAGUGCAAUUUAUGUUUUUUUGUAUAAUAAUAACAAAACUGUGAUCAUUAUUUCCUGUGCGACCGACAACGGUGUUUUAUACAGUUCACAUGUUUAGUUUUUGUAAUUUUUUUAUGUAUAGACCAUACACGAUGCGACAAUCGUAGGAACAGUCCUAUCGAAUUAUAACAGAAAUUGAAAUCGUGUAUGAAUUACCCCGUACAAACGUUUUACUUUACGAAAUUUUAAGAUUUUUGCAUUAUAAACUCGUCAGACGGUCUAUGCGAAAGUCGAAUAGUGUAUGGCCUAUCUACAGUUUGCGUCAUAUAACUUUGCCCCUCGGGAGUUAGUCACAAGCCGUAGUUAUUGUUUCCAGAAUCUAAACUCUACUAGCUCACUACCCCGUUUCAUAUUAUAACCGUGCUAGGAACGUGUCAGACGCGACUACGCUUUGGUUACUAAAAACGUUAUGCACGGGUAUGACACGCUGGUGAUUCAUUCUAUCGGGUAUAUUAGUCCAUGUCGUGUCUCUCCGUGCCUGAUAAGUUCAUAGCACGGUCAUAGUAUGUUCCGGUUAUGUUGGCAGACUCCUUAAGUGGUAAUGUGACACGUAUAGAGCGUGUGUAACAACUUUCUUUAAUAUUUAGAGGGUCAGAGAUACAUCACGCCGUCUGUAAGCUUCGAUAUGGCAAAGCGAUCAUACCAGGAAUUUAGUCGUAAUUUAAGGACUAAAGAGCAAUAAUAAUACUACGUCGCAUAUCGUUAAUUAAACAUUGUAAAGAUACUGAAAGAUAAUGUAAAUGUUAAUUUAAAUGUAAAUUAAAUAGCAAGAGUUUGGAAAUAAAAAAUAUAAAGAUCAUAAGAUA